rnacentral:rRNA from 1 species
CCUACGGGGCGCAGCAGUGAGGAAUAUUGGUCAAUGGACGAAAGUCUGAACCAGCCAUGCCGCGUGCAGGAUGACGGCUCUAUGAGUUGUAAACUGCUUUUGUAUUAGGGUAAACACCCCUACGUGUAGGGGCUUGAAAGUAUAAUACGAAUAAGGAUCGGCUAACUCCGUGCCAGCAGCCGCGGUAAUACGGAGGAUCCAAGCGUUAUCCGGAUUUAUUGGGUUUAAAGGGUGCGUAGGCGGAUUGAUAAGUUAGAGGUGAAAUGUCCGGGCUCAACUCGGGAACUGCCUCUAAUACUGUUGAU